UUAUUGUCCGUAUAGCGGGUCGCCAGUAAUACUCGUCCUGGUGGCGAGCGGCGGACGGGUGAGCGGCCUAGGAAUCUGCCUGGUAGUGGGGGAUAACGCUCGGAAACGGACGCUAAUACCGCAUACGUCCUACGGGAGAAAGCAGGGGACCUUCGGGCCUUGCGCUAUCAGAUGAGCCUAGGUCGGAUUAGCUAGUUGGUGGGGUAAUGGCUCACCAAGGCGACGAUCCGUAACUGGUCUGAGAGGAUGAUCAGUCACACUGGAACUGAGACACGGUCCAGACUCCUACGGGAGGCAGCAGUGGGGAAUAUUGGACAAUGGGCGAAAGCCUGAUCCAGCCAUGCCGCGUGUGUGAAGAAGGUCUUCGGAUUGUAAAGCACUUUAAGUUGGGAGGAAGGGCAGUUACCUAAUACGUAUCUGUUUUGACGUUACCGACAGAAUAAGCACCGGCUAACUCUGUGCCAGCAGCCGCGGUAAUACAGAGGGUGCAAGCGUUAAUCGGAAUUACUGGGCGUAAAGCGCGCGUAGGUGGUUUGUUAAGUUGAAUGUGAAAUCCCCGGGCUCAACCUGGGAACUGCAUGCAAAACUGGCAAGCUAGAGUAUGGUAGAGGGUGGUGGAAUUUCCUGUG
rnacentral:rRNA from 1 species